rnacentral:rRNA from 1 species
GAUCCUGGCUCAGAAUCAACGCUGGCGGCGUGCCUAACACAUGCAAGUCGUACGCGAAAGGGGCUUCGGCCCUGAGUAGAGUGGCAAACGGGUGAGUAACACGUGGGUGACCUGCCUUCGAGUGGGGGAUAACGUCCCGAAAGGGACGCUAAUACCGCAUGACAUCCUGCCUUUGGACAGGCGGAGAUCAAAGCUGGGGAUCGCAAGACCUAGCGCUUGAAGAGGGGCCCGCGUCUGAUUAGCUAGUUGGUAGGGUAAUGGCCUACCAAGGCUACGAUCAGUAUCCGGCCUGAGAGGGCGGACGGACACACUGGGACUGAGACACGGCCCAGACUCCUACGGGAGGCAGCAGUGGGGAAUUGUUCGCAAUGGGCGCAAGCCUGACGACGCAACGCCGCGUGGAGGAUGAAGGUCUUCGGGUCGUAAACUCCUGUCGAGCGGGAAGAACACCUACCGGCCGAAUACGCUGGUAGGCUGACGGUACCGCUAAAGGAAGCCCCGGCUAACUCCGUGCCAGCAGCCGCGGUAAUACGGGGGGGGGCAAGCGUUGUUCGGAAUUACUGGGCGUAAAGGGCUCGUAGGCGGCCAACUAAGUCCGACGUGAAAUCCCCAGGCUCAACCUGGGAACUGCGUCGGAUACUGGAUGGCUUGAAUUCGGGAGAGGGAUGCAGAAUUCCAGGUGUAGCGGUG